UAUAGUGGACUUGAAAAUGGAAAGAAAUUCCUUUGGUGUUACUCCUCUGGUCAUGCAAUUAUUUUAUGUAAUUCAGUGGGGGUGGAUGUAACAGGGUUAAAAAGAGUACUUAAUUUAAGAGUUUUGAUGUGUGAAUUUCAUAAAAUAAGCAUUUGGUUAAAUUCAUUGGUGUUCAAAGGCUCCCCUCCUGUGGCUAUUAAUGGUACUGCAGACAGUGUAUUUUGUCGCUCUUCUCUUGCCGUACUCCAGCAGAUUUGAGUGUCGCUGCUGUGGUCUUGAAUGUCUGCAGUAGUUUAUCUUCAGCCAAAGUGAUUUGUGCCAUUUUAUUUCCAAAAGAUAAAGGCAAGCACAAGGAAACCCACGUGUGAGUGUGUUUGUUCACGUCUGUU